CGCAAGCGCUGGGCGGGGCCUGGGGAGGGGCGUGGUCAGGGCCCCGGGAGGCUGUCUCGGAGUCCCCCGCUCGGCCCCGGGAUUAGCGGAUUCAGGUCGGAACCCGGGUUCCGGUUCAGCCUGCGCCCUGGGCCUCGCUCGUGGAAGCGCCGGAGCAUUUCCCUUCAGCGAGAGAAGAUAUCAAUUGACCCAACCACGGAUUAAAUAUUCAAAAACAUCUCCAUAAAAAUUCAAGAGGCUUUAUAAUGCCGUCAAAAUAUGAAUGGAAGCCCAAA